rnacentral:rRNA from 1 species
AUGAAUUGGAUACUUCAAGAGAAGAGAAGAGAAUUGUCAGAUAAGGAGAGGCAUGGUGUUUGCUUUGCCUUGCUGGUAAUCGAGCUCAGAGAUGGGUCUGUUCAACCAGACGACAAGCUGCUAGUCUCAAACCUGUUGGACAUAAGUGUACGAUCUGUUGAAAGAAUCUGGGAACAGGCUAAAAAGCAAAUUGCCGAUGGAAAAGAAGUAGAUGUCUCAAGCAAGAAGCCAGGAAGAUCCGGCCAAAAGAGAAAGGAGCUAGAUCUAGAGAGGACCUCAACAAUCCCACUGAAUAAAAGAAGAACAAUUCGAUCUCUGGCACGGUCUCUAGGUGUGGCCCGAUCGACCCUACAUAAGAGGUUCCAGUUGAAUGAGCUCAACCGCAUCACAAGCACCGUGAAGCCUCACCUCAAGCUAGAGAACAAGCUUGCGAGAUUGAAAUUUUGUAUGUCCAUGGUCGAUGACAAUUCGAUCUCAACUUCUCGGGCUAUGUUAAAACCAAUGACAAAUAUGGUUCACAUCGAUGAGAAGUGGUUUGACAUGACGAGAGUGAAGAAUAGUUACUAUGUACUUCCAGGAGAACCUGAACCGAAGCGCACCAUGUCAAACACUCACAGCAUUGGGAAGGUGAUGUUCCUAACAGUUGUUGCCAAGCAUCGAUAUAACAAUGAGGGGGAGAUAACAUUCGAUGGGAAGAUCGGCAUUUGGGCAUUCGUCGAAGAGACCGAGGCGAAGCGGACAAGUCAAAACAGAACAAAGGGAACAAAAGUGUUGACAUCGGUGAAAGUAACCAGGCCUGUGUGCAGAGAUUAUCUAAUCAAUAAGGUUAUCCCGGCAAUUCAGGAUAAGUGGCCUGACGAUGAUGAGGGAGCACCAAUAUUCAUCCAACAGGAUAAUGCAAAGCCUCAUGUCCUUCCCAAUGAUGUAGCUUUUUGA